rnacentral:ncRNA from 1 species
UUGGCAAAACUAUUGAAAGAUAGUGACGCAAAGCCAUUGGGUCUAAGCCGCAAGGUAUGACAGCCGGUUGCCG